UCUGCCUCUCUUCCAGAAGCCCACAUUCCAAAUAAGAAAAAAACAAAUAACCAAAGUCAUACAAUAUUACUAACCACCUAAUUUCUUCUAGAAAAUACAUUAAUUAAUCAACCGGAAAUGUCACAAAACCAAACUUGUCACUUUCUCUCUUUUUAUCUCUUCCCAUUUCACGAAAUUCAUAUAUAAUUUCAUCAUUAUAUCAUUAUAAGAUAGCCUUAGAAUUUUGCAACUAUACAUUAAAAUCAUCUCAACAUACUUUUCUUCAUCUCUCUAAUAUGGUUUUCAAUAAGGUGCAUGUGUUCUUGCUCUUAAUAGUUUUGAUUAGUUCAAUUCGAGAGAAACCUUCAAUUGUAGAAGGAAGAGUACUUUCAUUAAUAUCUCAUCAAGUUAUAGGAUAUUCUAAGAUUUUUGCGACGCUUGGAGUUAUUUGCAAGUGUUGUGAUGAUGGGAUUGAAGGUGCAUGCAAAGAAACAUGGAAAGAUUCUUGUUCUAACGUACAGUGUUUACCUUGGAAGACAUAUUAGUUAUAGUAAAUCUUAGGACUUUUUCACAUGUACGUAAAUUUUGAGAAAUAUUGUAGAAAUUUAUUUUAUGAUUAGAUCAUGUUGCAGAUUAUUUUUGAUAGAACUGCAAAUUAUGUGUAACUUCUGUGAAUAUUAAUGGUAAAUUUGGGGCGUAA